rnacentral:tRNA from 1 species
UCUAAUAUGGCAGAUUAGUGCAAUGAAUUUAAGCUUCAUAAAUAAAGGAUAUUAACCUUUUAUUAGAA